UGUCGGCACAUUCCUCUUUUUGGAGUGGUGCUCGUUUCUAUUAGAGGAUACCAUCACAAAAAUAUUAUUAGCGGAUUUCACCAAUAUUUAACAUGAGGGCGUCGAAAAUAGCAGAAUUGAGAAUUGUUAAAUGAGAAAAGUGAUGCUAAUUUCAAUGUGCACUUACAGAUUCGCAUAUUUACAAAGCGCAAACGAUUAUGUAUGUAUGUAUAUAAUUUAUAGAUAUUCUCAAUAUAUUUGAUAUCAAAGCAUAUAUGUGAGUAUGUAUAUGUGCAAUUUGACUUGUAUUAUGAGGAAUUCUAUAAAAUUUGUUGAAAUAUGUAAUAAUGUCAUGCAUUAUUGCCUAAAUAUUUAAUUUAUGCACAAAUGUAUGUGUACAUGUAAACAGAUUUUAAAGAACCAUACGCAUAAUUUUCACAUAUUCAUAUAUGUAUGUAAUUUUGUGUGCACGUAAACAAAUUUGAAGGAAUCAUUCGCAUAAAGCUUGUAAAUUCGUCUACACAUAACUUUGUAUGUAAAUAUACUAUAUACAUACACCCGCUGUAACAGAGUUAAAGGGAUGCCCAACUUAUUCCAGUGUGAGAGCGGCUCAAAAUAGGCGUUUUUAUAACAUUUUCUAUUGUCAGAUCGAACAAAAUAAGAGCUUUUGGGCAUUUGAAUUAAAACACCCAACAUUUAUUACGAUUGCAAAUUAUUAUAAUAGGUUGUCAAAAAAGUCUUGCGGUAUUUUCGCUAGUUGGCGCUGAAAGCGCGUAGUUCUAGUUUUAUUCGUCGCAUCGGGUCAUGCUAUACCUUUUUGGAAAGCUCAUUUCUCGCGCUAACACUAAUAUACUGGAUUUUUAAUAUAUGGCGAAACUACUUAAAUCCUUUUUUAUGAUUUUAUGGUAUAUUAAAACAACUGAUUUUCGAUCUAUCAAUAUAAUAUAAUAAGGUGAAUUAAGCCUGUUAGUUCUAAAUUAAUUCUACUAUGCAUCAAAUUGCAAAAAGUUUCAAAAUAAUAUAUACAAUAUUCGCAUUUUCUUUGAUUUUCAUUGUUUUACAUUUUUUAUUAGCAAUCUUGACCGGCGGCAACAAAUCCUUCCGUUCACAUAUGUUUUUGGGAUAAUUUCAAUUUGGCCAAUCAAUCGUUCCAAUUACAAAACGUCAAAACCUACCCAAUCCAGUCAACUCUCAAAGUUCGGUAGGUGAGCGGUUCUCGCAUUUUCAGUGACAGGAGAGUCGGGCGUCUCUUUAUCUUUGCUUAUGAGUGAGCUUGCAUACAUAUCGAUGCAGAUUUUUGCGAGCUGCGUAAAAAUAUUUUAGAAUUACAAAAUAUUCUUUACAUUCCUUGAUAAAUACAGUCAAUUCCGGUCAUGUGCCACAAUCAAAGAUACAGAUUUUUGUGGUUUGUUAAAUAUAAAAAUAUAUAUGGUACAUAAGCGACUGCGGAUACUUAAACGAGUCGUACUUAAAACAAUAAUUUCUAUUUAUUUCAAAAAACAGAACGUGAAAUGCAGCAAGAUACAGGGAAUUAAGAGAGAAUGGCACUUAAGCGGAGUACUACUUAACGGGGAUUGAAUGUACACACAAAUCAGAAGAAUAUUGAAUAUUUUCUGGUAGAACCCCAAAAGGUGAUCUAGUGACCGCUGCUCAGAGCAUACUUAAAUUAUGGAGGGAACACUUCUCCAGCCUGCUGAAUGGCAGUGAACGUACAACGCCAGGAGAAGGCGAACCCGAUUCCCCAAUCUAUGACAAUGGAGCAGACGUUCCAUUGCCCGACCAUGAAAAAGUUCGAAUAACAAUUACCCGUCUGAAGAACAACAAAGCAGCGGGGGCCGAUGGAUUGCCGGCUGAGCUAUUCAAUCCACAAGAAGGGAGACCCCACAAUCUGCGCCAACUACCGUGGGAUAAGCCAUAUAUAAUAUGUGGCGAUGCCGAUGAUAUGAUAUCAUCGGCCUCAACACCCGCCCCGUUAGUUUUGCUUUCUCCAGACUGGACAAGGAAGCAAAGCAAAAGGGGUCUGGUAGUGGACAAGGGCAAAACGAAAUAUCUCCUGUCAUCAAACAAACAGUCGUCACACUCGCGACUUGGCUCUCACGUCCCUGUUGACAGUCCUAACUCUGAAGUUGUAGAUCAUUUCGCCUAUUUAGGAACCAGUAUAAACACCACCAACAAUGUCAGCCUAGAAAUCCAACGCAGGAUAACUCUUGCCAACAGGUGCUACUUCGGACUGAGUAUAAUUGAGAAGUAAAGUUCUCUCUCGAUGAACCAAAACCAAACUCUAUAAGUCGCGCAUAAUUCCCGUCCUGCUAUAUGGUCCAGAGGCUUGGACGAUGACAUCAACUGAUGAGUCGACGUUGCGAGUUUUCGAGAGAAAAGUUCUGCGAAAGAUUUAUGGUCCUUUGCGCGUUGGCCACGGUGAAUAUCGAAUUCGAUGGAACGAUGAGCUGCAAGAGAUAUUUGAUGACAUUGACAUAGUUCAGCGAAUUAAAAAACAGCGGCUACGCUGGCUAGGUCAUAUUGUCCGAAUGGACGAAAACACUCCAGCUCUGAAAGUAUUCGACACAGUACCCCCGGGGAAAGCAGAGGAAGAGGAAGACCUCCACGUCCGUUGGAAGGAUCAAGUGGAGAAGGACCUGGCUUCGCUUGGAAUAUCCAAUUGGCGCUACGUAGCGAAAGAAGAAACGUCUAGCGCACUGUUGUUAACUCGGCUAUAAUCGCGUAAGCGGUGUCUACGCCAGUAAAGAAAAAGAAGAUUUAGUUAGUUACAAUAUACAUGUUUUACUCCAUUUAACUGUACCAAGCAAUAUGGUCCUCUAGAAAACUUUUCCGCUUAUAAGUUUGAAAAUCACAUACAUUAUUGCAGAUUUUAUUUGCAAUGAAUUAUCUAAAAUUAAUUCGUUUAAAUAGAUUUAAGAAAAGAAAAAAACUCUUAUUGUUUUAGUAAAAAAUUAAACCCCAUAAAAGUAACAGGCAUGACAGACGAAUCUGGUAUCGCUAAAAACUACUUUCAAGAACUAUUGGAUUCGUCAUCUGACCUAGGUAUUUUGUUGGGAAAUAAAUUAGAUCCACAACGUCUUCAAAAGUAAAAGGCAAAUGUGAAAUUGCCGUUUUUGUUUUAAAUUAUUUUUUCGCAUUUGUUAUUGUAUGUAACAUGUAUGCAAUUUGCUUGUGGAUGGAAACGGUAAUACAACACCGUUCUAAAAUGUAUUUCUUAAAAAAUUGUAGUUUAAUACAUAUGUUUAUAUCUUUAAAAACUAUUUCCACCCAACUAGAAGAAUUGACUUCAAGAGUUGGUAACAUGGAAAUGAAGAUGGACAGCUUUAUUAAAGAAAAUGUAAGUUUAUGUCCAUAAAAAAUUUUAUUCUUCCAUAAGUAUUCAUCAUUACAAAGAGAACGUAUUGUUUAGUUAUUUUUGUUUAAGCAUCAUUUAAGUAUUCUCUAACUGUACUUGUUCUCUUGCCAGAUAAUUCAAAAAAGCGAAGAAAUGGACCAACGAAAGACCGUCCCGUCCGCGAAUGCAAGCUGCUAAUUCGUAAAGUUUACCAAUCAGUAUACCGACUGACUGGCAAAGAAAUCGACACUGCCCGAACUGAAACUGCUUCCACUCUUAACAACAGCUUUGGAAAUGGACGAAAAACUAAAAUGCGAGGAAUUUGCUACAGCAAAGAAACAGUUUAUUUUAAGUAUGAAAAGCUGUUCUUUUUAUGUAACUGUGACGGUAGGGGAGGUAAGCAACCGCUAUCGAAAUUUCUACUAGUGUCCAACAUAUUAUAUGGUAAACCGUCCACGCUUUACAUACAUAGAUAGUACUACUACAUAAUACCAUCUAUAUGAUUUCUAUUAGUUAGAUUAUAACUAUUAGUUAAUGAGAAGUUGAAGCAACCUGUGGGAAAAAUACUUUUGAAUUUGAGAUGUGCACCAGGGAAAUGAGCCGAGUCGAAUCGACAGACAGCUUAAGGGAUUGUAUAGUUUAUUAUGAACCGGUUCUCAAGCGUGAAAAGACAAAAACGUCGGCUGGCAAGGUUUUGGCAUCGGUCUUUUUAGAUGCACAUAAUAUUCAUCGAAUGAUUACUGAGCGAGUUUUAUGCCAGUCUUUUGGGAUGCACAUGGUAAUAAUAUUCAUCGAAUGACAGUUUUAAUCCAUUUCACUGCGUAUUUGGUUGCAGUUCUAUUCUACCAUUUCCAAUAUUUAGCAAUUUUAUUAUCUUUUAGGAAGGACCACUUUGAAAUUGUACGCAUAUACUUCAGCGUUGUCAUUUGUGUCCUUCGCCCAUAAUCUAGCAAAGUAGCCACAAUGCCUUGACGACGAAAAUGUACAUGCCAUUCAGGAUGCCUGGUUCAGGAGUAACAAUCAAUAUAACUCAUAUAUUACGCAUGCGUGCAUAUUAAAUUUGUGUUCUGCCGCGUUAGCUCUGUGUUGUUAUUUUUUUACUUAUUUCUUUCUUUUUGUAAAGUAAUAAAAUUUUCAAUGAUUCUUUAAUGAAUUUUAAGCAAAUUCUUAUGAUUUGAAAUAUAAUAUUUUAUUAAUGAAUUGUAUAGAAUUUUAACAUAAAUAGACAAUGUCCCAUGUCCUUCUGGUUCACAAAUUUCAGCCAAAUCGGUUCAGCCGGGCUUGAAUUAGAAAUAGUGUAACAAACACGUCUUUUUUUUAUAUAUAGAUUGUUAUUUUCCUCACUAGAGAGCUCCGAUAAUAAAAGCGUCCGAUCGCUGCUAAAUUCAAAGUGCUGUAGGGUGAACCACAACCUCCGAUGAGCUAUUUAUAGGCACGCUCCCGCCGCCCUGGAAGUGCAAGCGUAGAGGCCCAUUCGCAUAAAUCUUUCGUUCGCUUUAUAUAGAGAAACUUUGAUAUUUGAGAAAUUUUGAUACUUAAAAAUUUUAAUUAAACGUGUUAGCUCUCACUUGAUAAAUGCUUUUAAUAAUUCUCUUUUGAAAAUAAUACUAUAAUGCAUCACGUUACAAAACGUUUCGUCAAAUUUACAAUACAUUCGAAUUUAGCAUUUUCUUCAUUUUUCAUUGUUUUACAUAUUAUAGUAGUGGUCUUGAAUGACGGCAACAAAUCCACCGUUUACAUAUCAAUCUCGGGGUACCAAAAAAAAAUUUACAAAUUUUCAUCAAAUCAUCACAGUUGCAAAAAUUUGCAAUAACAUAUCGGAAUAUGUCAACGCAUAUACGGGAAAGGAACACGCGAGCACAACCGGACCAAAUUUGUCAAUCAAACUUUUAUGUGUGAAAUU